UUCUAAGAACGGAUCUUUAAAGGUUUGGAUUUUGGUUGGUUAGUUAUCAUUUGCUGGAGGUUAGGUUUGGUUAAAAUUGGAUAAUUUUGAUAUAAUAAAUAUGUGUGUUUAAAUUUAUUUUAAUCAUAAAUUUUAUAUUAUAGUAAUAUACGUCAAGGACUAGCAUUAAGUUUCAUUAUGUUGUUUUCUUGCAAAAUAAUUGUAGUGAAGAAACAUUGAUGCUUGGUAAUAUGGUAUGAUGGUACCAUCCCCAUUCCCCGCCACAGCAAUUGUAUAUUUCUCAACAGCUUUACAUUCAGGGCAGGGGUCUUUAAUAAGCUGUAAGCUCGAAAACAAAGGAUAUGCAAUAAUAGUUAUUUUUUAAAUUAUUUCAACUUUGAAUGUACAUUGAGUAAAUCAUAUUUGAUAUGUAUCUAGUUUCUUUUUUGGAUAUAUAUUUCUUAUUGGGAAAUCAUUGUUAAUUUGUUAUUCAACUUACCAAAAGAUGGCACGAUAUGGCAAUGGCAUGGCCAGGGGAGGUUGAAUGGGGUACUUUUGUUAAACGUGGCUCUUAUAAAACAAGACUGUUAGGAGUGUGUAUUUUUUUUUUUUUAAAUAGUAACACCACUCACUCAAAUUCAAUACUCAUUUACCUGAACAAAAAUAUACCAAAUAAGAGAAGAUUUGGAUGUCACCCGCAGGCCAGAGCUGGUCGGUCUCUGCUUCAUCAGCCUAGCUAAUUAGGUAAAUUUUGUGUGGCUUGGAGUAUUAAUUUAUUUUUCUUUUUAACAUACAUACUUUGCUUUAUGUCCAUAAAUUGGUUUUGAUUCAUUGCCUACAUAAACUGCAACUAUAAUGAGCUUCCCCUUGGAAAAAGAAAAUUUUCUAGUAUUUUUUAAUAUCAUGUUUUUGUUGUAAAUUUCAAUUUCAAU
rnacentral:lncRNA from 1 species